rnacentral:lncRNA from 1 species
ACAGUUUGUCCACAUCUCCAAAGAAAGCCCUACUCAGUCUCCCCUGAGUGAUGGAGAGCAAGCAGGCCCCCGUCAGCAGCAGGCCCUGCGCUCCGCCAGGCUGGCACAGGGAGAGUGAGGAGGGAAGGGCAGGGGCUGCCGUAAAGUCAAAAGGAACUGCCAACAAUACAGCUCUGUCUCCCAGGGGUGACUCACCAGUGAAAACAGAAGACCGGCCCACGUGCCAGCAUCUGCAGGACAGCGUCCAGGAGCGGGUGCAGCCAGCUUCAGGGGGCCAACGCUCCAGCACCUUCCUCAGGCCCCGUGAAUGGGGCCUGGUCGUCUCCCUGCAGCCUCGGUUUGGAAGCUCGUGGAAGGAACCAGGAGGUCAGAGGACAGCAGGCCAGCCCUUCCAGCCCCAGGACGGCGUUCAGAAGCUUCUAGAAGCCUCCCAGCCCUUACCUCCUGCCAAAGACCGAGCCAGUGCUGCCGGCACCCGGGCUGCCCCCACGCACUCAGGAAACAAGGAUGCCAGUGGGGUGGCAUGCCCUCCUCAGAUCACGACCCCACAGAGCAGGUGCGAUGGAUCGCCAUUUUACAGAUAAGGACUCUGAGACACAGAGCCGGCUCCCUUGCAGUUCUGGCCAACGAGCUGGAGGCAGAAGUCAACUGGGGAGAUUGUGGGAAAGCUUUUCAUUUCCUGAUAAAAGGAGUAAAGGUAGCUGAUGCCCCCUGUGCCCUUUAUUGCUGUCUUGAAUGUGGAUGCAAUGCCUGGAGUCAUGGCAGCCAUCUCGUGAUCUGAGGGAAAGGCUAGGAGAAGCACGGACAGUGACCUGGAACGACCUCCCCAGUCCCAAGACCUCUGUUUGUAUGGGAAAAUUAAACCCUGUCUGUUUACAUCGCUGGGUUAGGGUUUCUUACAGCUAAAAAUCAUACCUAAUGUUCUUUUCUCUUUCUUCCUCUCACUUAUUCCCACUUGAAAGUGGCUGGUUGUUAAAAGUCAGCAUCUUGGAAGGAGUGAGGGACAGUGAAAGGCCGCUUUCCCAGGAUAUUCAGCGGAAUUGCAUCCUCCCGUGGCCUUUCCAGCUCCACUUAGGAGCCCCUCCCGUAGUCCACGUGUGCGUGUGGACCGCGGCUCCAGGUCCACUCUCCCCUCAAUGCUCCUAACAGCCCAGAAGGGAGGCCAG